AUCGCUUCUCGGCCUUUUGGCUAAGAUCAAAGUGUAGUAUCUGUUCUUUCAGCUUAAUAUCUGAUACGAAACCCCAAAGUGGGACUACGAUAUUAAACUGAUUUUUGGGAAAAAGGCGAAGUGCUAGGGGGGUUGCUCCACCUUUUCCCGGGUCGGCCCCGGGAUUGCAGAAACCCCCGGGGUUGGUCCACUCCCU